AUCCCAGUAGCGCAAUGGGUCGGUCGUUGGAUUUCUAAUCCAAAGUUCGUGGGUUCGAAUCCCAUCUGGGAUG